rnacentral:rRNA from 1 species
UACGAAGGGGGCUAGCGUUGCUCGGAAUUACUGGGCGUAAAGCGCACGUAGGCGGUCUUUUAAGUCGGGGGUGAAAUCCUGGAGCUCAACUCCAGAACUGCCUUCGAUACUGGAAGACUUGAGUUCGGGAGAGGUGAGUGGAACUGCGAGUGUAGAGGUGAAAUUCGUAGAUAUUCGCAAGAACACCAGUGGCGAAGGCGGCUCACUGGCCCGAUACUGACGCUGAGGCACGAAAGCGUGGGGAGCAAACAGG